AUUCACCAUGUUAUCAUCUGAUCUCUUUCGCCGAUGUCAAAUGUUCAUCAAAGUUUUCUUCCUGCAACGAAGCUGUGAAUGAUCUGUGAUUUUCUUAUCAUUUGCUUUCAGGAAUUUGGACCUAUUGCCGAUAAAAAUGUGAAUCGGUCUCUCGUAAACGUCAGGGAAAUAUAGCUGGGCAUCGUUAUUGGGUGAACCUCUUGAUUAAUUCAUGAUGGAAAAGGUUCAGUAAACGAAGCUAUAUUCUAUAAAAGAAUUACGUAUUCGAAUUGUAAAAUGUUUUGAAAAUAUUCAUUGAUUUUGCAUCGAAAAUACUGAUUACCAGCGCUCUUAAAUUUCAAUAGGUGUUGUGUAUGAGCCGAUGCAAUAUUGAUUUCUUCUCCGCUUUCUGAAUAAUCAGUUUCUGAGGUUUUAGCUCUCUCUUCCAUGAGCCAUAAUUAUUUCAGAUGUGGAGAAAAGUAGUUUUUACAUUUGAAAAUUUUGAGAUGAUGGAUGUGAUGAUUAUUUCCCCAGAUGAUCGAAUCUGAAAUAACUGAGCGCUCAUAUUCAAUUUUUCUCUUUCUGGAGAAAAAUCCAAGCCAGAAAUCUGAUCCAU